GGAUCGUGGGUUCUAAGUCGGAUGGAGGUAGAAGGAAAUCUGCGGCGGUGGAGCUCUUUGCAACCCUAUGGAUUGUAGCCCGCCAGGCUCCUCUAUCCAGAUUCUCCAGGCAAGAAUACUGGAGUGGGUUGCCAUGCCCUCCUCCAGGGGAUUUUCCUGAUGCAGGUAUCGAACUGGUGUCUCCAAUGUCUCCUGCAUUGAAGGACUCUUGAAGACUGAAAAACCAAGACGUCCGGUCUUGACACCAUGCUGUUCCUAGGCUUUCAUCGACAUCCUCUUCUGAGUUUACCUCCCUGGGAACCAGCUGCCCAGAGGGACAUGGGUUUGACCCCUAAUCUGGGAGUAUCCCACAAGCCUUGGGGCAACUGAGCCCGUGCACCACAAGUACCGAAGCCAGGGCUCAGGAGCCCACAGACCGCAACGACUGAGCCCACGCACCACAAGUACUGAAGCCCGAGUGCUCAAGAACCCGUGCUCUGCAGCCAGAGGCCACUGUGAUGAGAAGCCCUCACACCACAGCUGGAGAGCAGCCCCUUCUCGCCACAGCUGGAGAAAACCCGCGUGCGCAAUGAAGACCCAGCACAGCCAAAAAGAAAGAAAUAAAUAUAAAAACAAACAC
ensembl:lncRNA